rnacentral:lncRNA from 1 species
AUAACAUAGCUUUUUUACACAAAUAUUACAACAAAUUUAAAUUAAUACAAAAAAAUUACCUUUACUUCUUUUUUUUUCUUUCUGUUUCCUUCCUUCCCUCUUCUUCUUCUCUUUUUUUUUUCUUUCUUCUCAUUUCCUUUUCUUUCUUUCUUUUUCUUUCUUCUCCUUUCAUUUUCUUUCUUUCUUUCUUCUCCUUUCCUUUUCUUUCUUUUUCUUUUUCUUUCUUUCUUCUCCUUUCCCUCUCAUUUUCUUCUCCACCCACCAGCCGAAUGGUCCCUCCAUUAUAAGGGGGUGGUGCCGCCUGUGGCAGUGGCACCAUUGGUGCCACCUGUGGCAUCCCCUCCACCAAGGUGCUGUCACAUCCUCCAGCAGCUUUUUUUUAACUUUUUUGUUUUUUUUGUAUUAUUUUGGUAAAUAAAAAAAUU